rnacentral:rRNA from 1 species
CAUGAACGCUAGCUGGAGGCUUAAUACAUGCAAGUCGAGCGGGAUUGGUAGCAAUACCAUGAGAGCGGCGCACGGGUGAGUAACGCGUACACGACCUACCUCUGACAGGGGGAUAGCCCUGGGAAACUGGGAUUAAUACCGCAUAUUAUUCUGAUUAAUAAAGGAUUGGAAUGAAAGUUCAGGUGGUCAGAGAUGGGUGUGCGUCUGAUUAGCUAGUUGGUGGGGUAACGGCCUACCAAGGCGAUGAUCAGUAGGGGGCGUGAGAGCGUGGUCCCCCACACGGGUACUGAGACACGGACCCGACUCCUACGGGAGGCAGCAGUAAGGAAUAUUGGACAAUGGCCGCAAGGCUGAUCCAGCCAUCCAGCGUGCAGGAAGAAGGCCCUAUGGGUUGUAAACUGCUUUUAUCAGGGAAGAAACCUCUGGAUUUACUCCGGAGCUGACGGUACCUGAAGAAUAAGCACCGGCUAACUCCGUGCCAGCCGCCGCCGUAACAC